rnacentral:rRNA from 1 species
GAAAGGCGGGGCUCCUUCGGGACCUGUCGCCUCUGGAUGAGCCCGCGUCCGAUUAGCUAGUUGGUGGGGUAAUGGCCUACCAAGGCAACGAUCGGUAGCCGGCCUGAGAGGGUGAACGGCCACAUUGGGACUGAGACACGGCCCAGACUCCUACGGGAGGCAGCAGUGGGGAAUUUUGGGCAAUGGGGGAAACCCUGACCCAGCGACGCCGCGUGGAGGAUGACGGCCUUCGGGUUGUAAACUCCUGUCAGGUGGGAAGAAAAGCCAGUCGGAUAAUACCCGGCAGGAAUUGACGGUACCACCAAAGGAAGCCCCGGCUAACUCCGUGCCAGCAGCCGCGGUAAUACGGAGGGGGCAAGCGUUAUUCGGAUUUACUGGGCGUAAAGCGCACGUAGGUGGCAUCGUAAGUCAAAGGUGAAAGCCCUCGGCUCAACCGAGGAAUUGCCUUUGAAACUGCUUUGCUUGAGUCCGGGAGGGGGGAGCGGAAU